rnacentral:rRNA from 1 species
UACGUAGGUGGCAAGCGUUGUCCGGAAUUAUUGGGCGUAAAGCGCGCGCAGGCGGUCCUUUAAGUCUGAUGUGAAAGCCCACGGCUCAACCGUGGAGGGUCAUUGGAAACUGGGGGACUUGAGUACAGAAGAGGAAAGCGGAAUUCCACGUGUAGCGGUGAAAUGCGUAGAGAUGUGGAGGAACACAAGUGGCGAAGGCGGCUUUCUGGUCUGUAACUGACGCUGAGGCGCGAAAGCGUGGGGAGCAAACAGG